rnacentral:rRNA from 1 species
UCCCCUAGUAACUGCGAGUGAAGCGGGAAAAGCUCAAAUUUGUAAUCUGGUGGCUCUUGGCCAUCCGAGUUGUAAUCUAGAGAAGUGUUACCCGUGCUGGACUGUGUACAAGUCUCCUGGAAUGGGGCAUCAUAGAGGGUGAGAAUCCCGUCUUUGACACGGACUACCAGUGCACUGUGGGUGUGCUCUCGAAGAGUCGAGUUGUUUGGGAAUGCAGCUCAAAAUGGGUGGUAAAUGCCAUCUAAAGCUAAAUAUUGGCGAGAGACCGAUAGCGAACAAGUACCGUGAGGGAAAGAUGAAAAGUACUUUGGAAAGAGAGUUAAACAGUACGUGAAAUUGCUGAAAGGGAAACGCUUGAAGUCAGUCGCGUCGGCAGGGAAUCAGCCUNGCUUUUGCUUGGUGUACUUUCCUGUCUUGACGGGUCAGCAUCAAUCUCGACCACUGGAUAAAGUCCAUGGGAAUGUAGCAUCUUUUGNAUGUGUUAUAGCCUGUUGUCGCAUANGGUGGUUGGGAUUGAGGAACUCAGCACGCCCGUGAG